GCGAGGACAUAUUCAUCAAAUCCGUGAAUAAUCAAAGCUGCAAAUAUGGAUGGAUGAGUGUAUUUAUUUUUCAUUCUUUCUUUAGAUGAUGAAGAGUCCGAUGAGGAGGCAGUAAAGAAGACGAAUAAAUGUUCUCUGGUUUGGGAGGGCACAGCCAAGGAGCGCAGCUUCGGCGAGAUGAAGUUCAAGCAGUGCCCCACCGAAAACAUGGCGCGGGAGCACUUUAAGAAGCACGGCGCGGAGCACUACUGGGACCUGGCUCUAAGCGAGUCGGUCUUGGAAUCCACGGACUGAAAUGGGUCCCGUCUCCCCGACUCCGGCUCCUUCCCCGCCGUUCACGGGGCUUCGGUUUGGAGCCCCCCAAGAACUCAAAAGCCGAAACGUUGGGACUUAGAGCCUCUGCCCGGGUUCCUCUUCCCCUCCUCCCUCUUGAGGAGGCGCAUUAUGAUUAAAAAGAAGUAUUUUUUAAAAAGAAAACACACCCAAAGUCAGGCUUUUGCUUUGGCAUUUAGGGGAAGGGGUACCGGGUGUGGAUCUUGGCGUGGGCCCUUUUAGCUUUUGGAUCCAGCUUCGAGGCUGAGGUUGAAAACAGCAAAUUGGGAUCUGUUUGCCCGCCGCAUCGUCUCCGCUUUCCGAACCCCUGAAGAUGUGCAAGUCCUCUUUUUGCUGCUGGUUUGUUUGUUUUUUUUCCUCUCUUUUAUUCCCAGUUCAGUAGGUUUGUCUGGACACUUAAGCCAUUAUAUGGCAAAGAGCCUUCCCAAGCCAAGAAAGGCAGAAGGAAGGAGCGAUGUAUCGGAACGACGAGGAGGAGGAGGAGGUCGCGGCCUCUUGACGAACGCGAGGGUGGCGUUUGCAAAGCGUAGGAGCUGGGGAUUUAGCCCACAUCCUAUCCUUACAUAAUAAACUUGGAAUUUUUCUUUUGUAAAAAGGUU